rnacentral:misc_RNA from 1 species
UUUCCGUAGGUGAACCUGCGGAAGGAUCAUUACAAAUCAGAAUGCUGGGAGACGGGGAGGUUAGUGGGGUGUAAGGCCCUACUAACGACCCGGAACCGGCUUAUUGUUCGAGGCAGCAAUGCUUCGUGACAUAUUAACGCUUGUAAGUUUGUCAAAGUAAAGUGAUUAUUAUAAAGAGACAACUUUUAACAAUGGAUCUCUUGGCUCUU